GCCGGGCGUAGUGGCAUGCUCCUGUAAUCCCAGCUACUUAGGAGGCUGAGACAGAAGAAUUGCUUGCACCCAGGAGGCGGAGGUUGCAGUGAGCCUAGAUCAUGCCACUGCACCCCAGCCUGGGUGACAGGGUGAGACUCUGUCUCAA
rnacentral:SRP_RNA from 2 species